UGGGCAGCGAGAUACAGAGUGACACCAAUAGAGGAGAGUGAGUGACCAGGAGUGGUACAGUGUGUGAGGUGGAGACACCAACAAGGGGGAGUGAUGAUGGAGACCCCUCUGACUGAGAUGGACAGACACCAACAGGAGUGGCAAGAAUUGAAGAUGCUGCCUGGCUACCUAUUAACCUAUGGAAGAACAACACCACAGUUCCUCCAGCACUUUAUCUAAAGCUGGAGCCUGCACACUACAUUUUAGAUCAGCUCCAGAAUCCUUGACCAUGUGGCUUGAAAACUUCCUAUCUGUGCACAACUUUGCAUGUGAUAUUAACAGUGUUUAUGAUGCUUUCUGACAUCCACGAGUGUGCCCUGAACUCCAGAAGCUGGCGCUCUGUUGUGAGCUCUGUUACAGGAAGGGAUUCAAGAAUAUUCUCAAAGCUUCCUGGAGAAAAGGCAAUGUCUUCACUGACACCUAGGACUCCCUGCUGCAUGAUCACUCCAAGUGGGGAAGGAAUAUUAAGGAUCACAGACACCUACAGCAUGGAACCAGGCCCUUUGGCCCAUCAUUGUCUGUGCCAGCUGUCAGGAACCCAUCUAGACUGGUCCCAUUUUGUUUUCUUCACAUUGCCAUACACACCAGAGAUGCUGCCUGACCUUGUGAAUGUUCCCAGCAUUUUCUGUUUCCAUUUCAGCUGCUAGUAACCUUGUGGCUCACCAGACCAGUGUUCAGAGACUACUUUGAUAGGCCGUCAGAGGGAAGUCCUUCACAAACACAAUGUAUCGUGGGAUCUUGAAGUGGGAGAUCUGUGGGAUGCAGAGGUUGGACAAUUUGAACACACUUUCUCUCCUGACUAAGCAACAAAGAAGUGAUUAGGUGUGGGAACUUUGGUGAAAUCUCUCCACAGUGAAUCACAGCCUCUCCCAGUCACACCAUUCCUGAGCCCAAGCUCUUCCCAUUCACUCCUGCGCCAGUGCUCCACACAAUAGAUGCCACAAUCUGCAAGUAGUGACCUUUAUUUAGAUGUAGGCCUAUGUGGACCUCUUGGUGUGAAUAGCAUCAUUUCACAUCCUAACCUCAAGGUUCCCAGAUCUCUAACCCCUUGUUGAAGAGAAGGCCUCUCCCUUUACAAGGAACAGGCUGCUUCUCAACUUUAAGAGGUAACAGGGUAAAUUUCCUGAGUCUCCAUAUCCAUUGAAAACCUCAUUGGGUGGAAACAUUAGUUGGAGAUUCUGGAACUUGGGAUUCUCCUGAUUGUUCACCAUUUUCCAGCCAUUAAUAUUCAAUCAGUUGUCAAUGCCUUGACCUCCACACUCCCAAGACUUGACAGAGGCAGUGCAAUCUCUGACAGUGUGCCUGAAUGACUCUGAGCCUUCUCUGAAUGCACAGUGGUGGAAGAUGUUGCCAAGCCUUUAUCAAUAACAUUUUCAUCUGCGACGUGAGUCGAACAGGAACGGGAUUCUGCUUUGCA